GCAUAACGCGAAGAACCUUACCGGGUCUUGACAUGCAUCUUGUCGCUGGUGAAAGCCAGCUAGGUUAGCAAUAACCGAUUUGCACAGGUGCUGCAUGGUUGUCGUCAGCUCGUGUCGUGAGAUGUUGGGUUAAGUCCCGCAACGAGCGCAACCCCUGUGGUUUGUUGCCACCCGGUUUACCGGAGCACUCGAACCAGACUGCCUCGAUCAACGAGGAGGAAGGUGGGGAUGACGUCAAGUCCGUAUGGCCCUUACGACCAGGGCUGCACACGUACUACAAUGCCCAGCACAAUGUGAACCGAUACCGCGAGGUGGAGGAAAUCAGUAAAACUGGGCUCAGUUCAGAUUGGAGUCUGCAACUCGACUCCACGAAGUUGGAAUCGCUAGUAAUGGUGCAUCAGCUACGGCACCGUGAAUACGUUCCCGGGUCUUGUACACACCG
rnacentral:rRNA from 1 species